UUUUGCACAAUGGCCGAAAGUCUGNUGCAGCGACGCCGCGUGGGGGAUGAAUGCCUUCGGGUUGUAAACCCCUUUCAGGAGGGACGAAGCGAAAGUGACGGUACCUCCAGAAGAAGCCCCGGCCAACUACGUGCCAGCAGCCGCGGUAAUACGUAGGGGGCGAACGUUGUCCGGAUUUAUUGGGCGUAAAGAGCUCGUAGGCGGCUCAACAAGUCGGCCGUGAAAACCCGGGGCUCAACCCCGGGACGCCGGUCGAAACUGUUGUGGCUAGGGUCCGGUAGAGGAGAGUGGAAUUCCCGGUGUAGCGGUGAAAUGCGCAGAUAUCGGGAGGAACACCAGUAGCGAAGGCGGCUCUCUGGGCCGGUACCGACGCUGAGGAGCGAAAGCUAGGGGAGCAAACAGGAUUAGAUACCCUGGUAGUCCUAGCAGUAAACGUUGGGCACUAGGUGUGGCGGACUCAUUGACGUCUGCCGUGCCGCAGCUAACGCAUUAAGUGCCCCGCCUGGGGAGUACGGUCGCAAGGCUAAAACUCAAAAAAAUUGACGGA
rnacentral:rRNA from 1 species